UGCCAGCCGCCGCGGUAACACGAACCGUACGAACGUUAUUCGGAAUCACUGGGCUUAAAGAGUGCGUAGGCGGCCUAGCAGGUUGGGUGUGAAAGCCCUCGGCUCAACCGAGGAAUUGCGCUCAAAACCGCUAGGCUUGAGUGAGAUAGGGGAAAGCGGAACUGAUGGUGGAGCGGUGAAAUGCGUUGAUAUCAUCAGGAACACCGGUGGCGAAGGCGGCUCACUGGGGGAUGACUGACGCUGAGGCACGAAAGCUAGGGGAGCGAACAGGAUUAGAUA
rnacentral:rRNA from 1 species